CGGCCUGUUGUGGGGCCGAGCGCGGGCGGGAGCGAGGGUGUCUGAGUCAGAGCUGCAUCCUCGGAGGAAUAAACGCCAAAACUCCCUCCUCGGCCGCUCUCACACCCCCAACCUCCGGCUUCUUCCUCACGACCGUCGAUGCUGUCAACAUACGUGUUCUUUAUGAAUCUCUAACAGCACAUUUUCGGCCUAAACUGCGCGAAAAGCCGGGCAGACCCGCUGGAUCUCACACACGCAGAAGAACUACCUGAGGGGAGGGGAAGAGGGGAGCGAGAAAGGAGCGGGAAUUUUUGCAGACCUGCUCAGGAGGUUUUGACUGAAACUUUCAGUAAGACACUCGAGGCUGAGAAUCUUCCCCGAAGCGUUUAGGACUCAAAGGGAAUGAGACAAGCAGAGAACGAGCCUCGUUUGCCCGUUAGGGAACAGCGCUCGGGGAGUAGGAAUGGCGCGCUUCCAUCCAGACCAGCGGGCGCUGCCACUGCCAGGAGCUCGCUCAGCCUUUCAGGGCAAACACAGCUCCUGCCGUUCGUAAGCAGCCCGUCUUUCUAACCACCAUGUCUCCUUUUCCUUGUACCCCUACGCCGCCCUGCCUCCCUUGCCCGGCUUCAGCCCCUCCAGCGCUACGGCUGAUGGAGGGAGGGGAGGCGGCGGCUGGGGUUUCGUUCGACGCCCACCAGGGGCUGAGCGAGCCUUCUUCAGUGCGCAAACUCGGGGCACCAGAUAAAAGCUGGGCUGGCAGCUCUUACCCUGCCUCGAUGGAGCCGCCACUUUCGGGUGACUGGAGAAGCAGUUAGCAGCAGCGCCAUAGACUAGCGUCCCCCCACACCUUGGGCACAGAGAGUUUGGGGCUCUAAAGAGCUGCUGCUGCGGCAGGAGGGAGCCGAGGUGAAGGGAUCUGCUAGCUGGUUGGACGCAGAGGAGGCGGCUGUAAUGGGGCAUUAAGUCUGAGGGAGGAGGGGGGGCGAUUAAACCUCUUGUGAUCAUG